rnacentral:rRNA from 1 species
AGGAAUAUUGGUCAAUGGACGAGAGUCUGAACCAGCCAAGUAGCGUGAAGGAUGAAGGUCCUACGGAUUGUAAACUUCUUUUAUAAGGGAAUAAAACCUCCCACGUGUGGGAGCUUGUAUGUACCUUAUGAAUAAGCAUCGGCUAACUCCGUGCCAGCAGCCGCGGUAAUACGGAGGAUGCGAGCGUUAUCCGGAUUUAUUGGGUUUAAAGGGAGCGCAGACGGGUCGUUAAGUCAGCUGUGAAAGUUUGGGGCUCAACCUUAAAAUUGCAGUUGAUACUGGCGUCCUUGAGUGCGGUUGAGGUGUGCGGAAUUCGUGGUGUAGCGGUGAAAUGCUUAGAUAUCACGAAGAACUCCGAUUGCGAAGGUAGCACACUAAGCCGUAACUGACGUUCAUGCUCGAAAGUGUGGGUAUCAAACAGGAUUAGAUACCCUGGUAGUCCACACGGUAAACGAUGGAUACUCGCUGUUGGCAAUAUACUGUCAGCGGCUUAGCGAAAGCGUUAAGUAUCCCACCUGGGGAGUACGCCGGCAACGGUGAAACUCAAAGGAAUUGACGGGGGCCCGCACAAGCGGAGGAACAUGUGGUUUAAUUCGAUGAUACGCGAGGAACCUUACCCGGGCUUAAAUUGCAAAGGAAUGAUCUGGAAACAGGUCAGUCUUCGGACCUUUGUGAAGGUGCUGCAUGGUUGUCGUCAGCUCGUGCCGUGAGGUGUCGGCUUAAGUGCCAUAACGAGCGCAACCCUCGCCGCCAGUUACUAACAGUUAAAGCUGAGGACUCUGGCGGGACUGCCAUCGUAAGAUGUGAGGAAGGUGGGGAUGACGUCAAAUCAGCACGGCCCUUACGUCCGGGGCUACACACGUGUUACAAUGGGCGGUACAGAAGGCAGCUACCUGGCGACAGGAUGCCAAUCCCUAAAGCCGCUCUCAGUUCGGACUGGAGUCUGCAACCCGACUCCACGAAGCUGGAUUCGCUAGUAAUCGCGCAUCAGCCACGGCGCGGUGAAUACGUUCCCG